UGCGGUUCUCGGGUGAGGCACCCUGGAAUCGGGCUACCUCCUCUCUGGUUCUGGGGUGCAUUUACCGAGAACCGCA
rfam:Myotis brandtii contig185398, whole genome shotgun sequence.